AGGACAUAUUUAAGGGGCAAUGGUGGAGUGGGCCUUGUUUGCUGCGGAGUGCGUGGAUGAGUGUGUCUGUAAAGGCGAAUGUUUCUGGCUGUGUGGAUGGUGUUUGUGUCUGUGUAGGGGAAUGUUUCUGGUUGUUUGGAUGGUGUCUGUCUGUAGGUGAAUAUUUCUGGUUGCGUGGAUGGUGUUUGUGUCUAUGUAGGUGAAUGUUUCUGGUUGUGUGACAGUGGCUGUGUAGGUGAAUGUUUCUCGUUGUGUGUCAGUGUCUGUAGGCGAAUGUUUCUGGUUGUGUGGAUGGUUUUUAGUGUCUGUAUAGGUGAAUGUUUCUGGUUGUAUGUCUCUGUAGGUAAAUUUUUCUGGUUGUGUGGAUGAGUGUUAGUGUCUGUAUAGGUGAAUGUUUAUGGUUGUGUGUCAGUGUCUGUGUAGGUGAAUGUUUCUGUCUGUGUGGAUGGUGUGAGUGUCAGUUAGGUGAAUGGUUCUGGCUGUGUGGAUGGUAUUUUAUGUCAGUAUGGGUGAAUGUUGUAUGAGUGAGUAGAUGGUGUGUGUGUGUAGGCACAAGAUGAACAUGUUUUGUGUGCGCUGGGGGGCUAGUGGCAGAGGGGUGUCAUAAAAAUAAGGCCUGUUCAGCACGUUGACUGGGACUGUGAUUAAGGAGUAUAAAAAAAUAUAAAGGAAUUGGAUUGUAUGAAAUAACAUUAAUGACGUAAUUAUAACCCUAAUAUUUCUAGUCUCAUGUUACAUUGUGCGUUAAUCAUU